UACGUAGGUGGCAAGCGUUGUCCGGAAUUAUUGGGCGUAAAGCGCGCGCAGGCGGUCCUUUAAGUCUGAUGUGAAAGCCCACGGCUCAACCGUGGAGGGUCAUUGGAAACUGGGGGACUUGAGUGCAGGAGAGAAGAGUGGAAUUCCACGUGUAGCGGUGAAAUGCGUAGAGAUGUGGAGGAACACCAGUGGCGAAGGCGACUCUCUGGUACGUGACUGACGCUGAGACGCGAAAGCGUGGGGAGCAAACAGG
rnacentral:rRNA from 1 species